GAUGAACGCUGGCGGCGUGCCUAAUACAUGCAAGUCGAGCGAACGGACGAGAAGCUUGCUUCUCUGAUGUUAGCGGCGGACGGGUGAGUAACACGUGGAUAACCUACCUAUAAGACUGGGAUAACUUCGGGAAACCGGAGCUAAUACCGGAUAAUAUUUUGAACCGCAUGGUUCAAAAGUGAAAGACGGUCUUGCUGUCACUUAUAGAUGGAUCCGCGCUGCAUUAGCUAGUUGGUAAGGUAACGGCUUACCAAGGCAACGAUGCAUAGCCGACCUGAGAGGGUGAUCGGCCACACUGGAACUGAGACACGGUCCAGACUCCUACGGGAGGCAGCAGUAGGGAAUCUUCCGCAAUGGGCGAAAGCCUGACGGAGCAACGCCGCGUGAGUGAUGAAGGUCUUCGGAUCGUAAAACUCUGUUAUUAGGGAAGAACAUAUGUGUAAUUAACUGUGCUCAUCCUGACGGUACCUAAUCAGAAAGCCACGGCUAACUACGUG
rnacentral:rRNA from 1 species